rnacentral:lncRNA from 1 species
CAAUAGAAGGGACGGAGGCACUGUUGGAAAAUGCAGCCCUGGGUGUCAGUCUCAGAAAGCCUGUUUCCGAAACAAACAACAGCUACGAAGAGGGUGGAAUGGGAAGCAGGGAACCUGCGGGGGAGAGAGGAGCCACAGGGACACCCAGGAGAGGUGGUACCUGAACACCCCACUCAUGUGCCUCAGCAGAUUUCUAAGCAUCAGACACUGUGAUAUGGAUACAAACACCAUUUACACUAUGUGGACUUUCGAGUGCACGAAGCAAGGUGUCACUCUGAUGAUGACCUGCGCAUUUCUGCUGAUGAACACAAGACGAAGGGAGUCACGUUUGGUCUUUCCUUUGGGAGUUUCAUGUUUGGGAGUUUCAUUCAGGAGCUGUGCUGAGACCACGGAGUUUCACUUCAUACCCCCCUAACUGACCAUGAGCUGACAUGGGAAACCAACAGGGAAGCCUCUGAAGUGUCCAAACAACAUUGCUGCCCAGCUUAAUAUGUUGUCAAUUAAAAGAAUGAUCUUAAGAAUUGUUGUCCCU